rnacentral:rRNA from 1 species
AUUGAACGCGGCGGCAGGCUUAACCACAUGCAAGUCGAGCGGGGAAGGGUAGCUUGCUACUUGACCUAGCGGCGGACGGGUGAGUAAUGCUUAGGAAUCUGCCUAUUAGUGGGGGACAACAUUCCGAAAGGAAUGCUAAUACCGCAUACGCCCUACGGGGGAAAGCAGGGGAUCUUCGGACCUUGCGCUAAUAGAUGAGCCUAAGUCAGAUUAGCUAGUUGGUGGGGUAAAGGCCUACCAAGGCGACGAUCUGUAGCGGGUCUGAGAGGAUGAUCCGCCACACUGGGACUGAGACACGGCCCAGACUCCUACGGGAGGCAGCAGUGGGGAAUAUUGGACAAUGGGCGCAAGCCUGAUCCAGCCAUGCCGCGUGUGUGAAGAAGGCCUUUUGGUUGCAAAGCACUUUAAGCGAGGAGGAGGCUACUUGGAUUAAUACUCUAGGAUAGUGGACGUUACUCGCAGAAUAAGCACCGGCUAACUCUGUGCCAGCAGCCGCGGUAAUACAGAGGGUGCGAGCGUUAAUCGGAUUUACUGGGCGUAAAGCGUGCGUAGGCGGCUUUUUAAGUCGGAUGUGAAAUCCCUGAGCUUAACUUAGGAAUUGCAUUCGAUACUGGGAAGCUAGAGUAUGGGAGAGGAUGGUAGAAUUCCAGGUGUAGCGGUGAAAUGCGUAGAGAUCUGGAGGAAUACCGAUGGCGAAGGCAGCCAUCUGGCCUAAUACUGACGCUGAGGUACGAAAGCAUGGGGAGCAAACAGG